rnacentral:rRNA from 1 species
CAGUAGCCGCGGGAAUACGAAGGGAGCUAGCGUUGUUCGGAUUUACUGGGCGUAAAGCGCACGUAGGCGGACUUUUAAGUCAGGGGUGAAAUCCCGGGGCUCAACCCCGGAACUGCCUUUGAUACUGGGAGUCUUGAGUUCGAGAGAGGUGAGUGGAAUUGCGAGUGUAGAGGUGAAAUUCGUAGAUAUUCGCAGGAACACCAGUGGCGAAGGCGGCUCACUGGCUCGAUACUGACGCUGAGGUGCGAAAGCGUGGGGAGCGAACAGGAUUAGAUACCCGAGUAGUCCCUGUCUCUUAUAU